GUGGGUAGUUUGACUGGGGCGGUCUCCUCCCAAAGCGUAACGGAGGAGCACGAAGGUUAGCUAAUCCUGGUCGGACAUCAGGAGGUUAGUGCAAUGGCAUAAGCUAGCUUGACUGCGAGCGUGACGGCGCGAGCAGGUGCGAAAGCAGGUCAUAGUGAUCCGGUGGUUCUGAAUGGAAGGGCCAUCGCUCAACGGAUAAAAGGUACUCCGGGGAUAACAGGCUGAUACCGCCCAAGAGUUCAUAUCGACGGCGGUGUUUGGCACCUCGAUGUCGGCUCAUCACAUCCUGGGGCUGAAGUAGGUCCCAAGGGUAUGGCUGUUCGCCAUUUAAAGUGGUACGCGAGCUGGGUUUAGAACGUCGUGAGACAGUUCGGUCCCUAUCUGCCGUGGGCGCUGGAGAAUUGAGGGGGGCUGCUCCUAGUACGAGAGGACCGGAGUGGACGCAUCACUGGUGUUCGGGUUGUCAUGCCAAUGGCACUGCCCGGUAGCUAAAUGCGGAAGAGAUAAGUGCUGAAAGCAUCUAAGCACGAAACUUGCCCCGAG
rnacentral:rRNA from 1 species